GACGAACGCUGGCGGCGUGCCUAAUACAUGCAAGUCGAACGCUUCUUUCCUCCCGAGUGCUUGCACUCAAUUGGAAAGAGGAGUGGCGGACGGGUGAGUAACACGUGGGUAACCUACCCAUCAGAGGGGGAUAACACUUGGAAACAGGUGCUAAUACCGCAUAACAGUUUAUGCCGCAUGGCAUAAGAGUGAAAGGCGCUUUCGGGCGUCGCUGAUGGAUGGACCCGCGGUGCAUUAGCUAGUUGGUGAGGUAACGGCUCACCAAGGCCACGAUGCAUAGCCGACCUGAGAGGGUGAUCGGCCACACUGGGACUGAGACACGGCCCAGACUCCUACGGGAGGCAGCAGUAGGGAAUCUGCGGCAAUGGACGAAAGUCUGACCGAGCAACGCCGCGUGAGUGAAGAAGGUUUUCGGAUCGUAAAACUCUGUUGUUAGAGAAGAACAAGGACGUUAGUAACUGAACGUCCCCUGACGGUAUCUAACCAGAAAGCCACGGCUAACUACGU
rnacentral:rRNA from 1 species